GAGCGACAUGGAGGGAGGAGGGAUAAUGGCGAGGAAGGUCGCGCCUCAAGUUUAUUGGCCGAGGUCCAGUCGCAGUGAGCGCAUCGCUAAAUGCAAUGACGAUGCAUCGGCGAACGUGAGUCGGUUUGGCAACCGCGCUCCGAUUGGUCGAAGUCGACCGGCUAGGCGACGACCGAGCGGCGGAGCGCGUUCGGGCGCAUUCGAGCGCCGACCGCCGGCCGGAGCGGACGGUCGAGUUCGAGAGCGCCGUCCGUUGUCGGAGCCAUGGUCAAGUACCCGAGAGCAGGUACAACGUUCGAGUACUCGAGCGACAAUCGCAUUUUUCAGCGUGACUCAGUUUCCGAGAGUUGAUCGAAUAUUCGAACGAUAAUCAAGAUUCCAAACCCGGUCAAGCAUAGGACCCAUCCUGACGCGGCCCUCGCAAUCUUAAGACGGAAUGUUCCGAUGCCCGGCUAUAAUGUGCACGAGCCUUAACACGUGCGGCCUCUCGGUCUCCCGCUCGAGCGGCGUCGAGACGCCGACGCGGGACCCUGGUUUCUCCGGAAUCCCGAGUCGGGUUUCGGAAAAUGGAACGGAAGCCUCGAGUCGAGGAUCGGAAAAUGAAGCGGAAGC